rnacentral:rRNA from 1 species
AACGUAGGGGGCUAGCGUUGUUCGGAAUUACUGGGCGUAAAGCGCGUGUAGGCGGCUUGGAUAGUCGGAAGUGAAAGCCCCAGGCUCAACUUGGGAAUUGCUUUCGAAACUGCCAGGCUUGAGUGCGGGAGGGGAGAGCGGAAUUCCAGGUGUAGCGGUGAAAUGCGUAGAUAUCUGGAGGAACACCGGUGGCGAAGGCGGCUCUCUGGACCGUAACUGACGCUGAGACGCGAAAGCGUGGGUAGCAAACAGG